CGUAGGAUCUAAACGUUGUUCGGAAUCAUUGGGCGUAAAGGGUACGCAGGCGGUCUUUUAAGUGAGUGGUGAAAUCCUGAGGCUCAACCUCAGACUUGCCAUUCAUACUGGAAGACUCGAAUCGUAAUAAGGGUGGCAGGAAUUCCUAGUGUAGGAGUGAAAUCUGUAGAUAUUAGGAGGAACACCAAUAGCGUAGGCAAGCCACUAGGUAACGAUUGACGCUCAGGUACGAGAGCUAGGGGAGCAAAUGGGAUUAGAGACCCCAGUAGUCCUAGCUGUAAACUAUGUUCACUAGUUUUGCGGGAUGUUUUAUCUGCAUAACAAAGCUAACGCGUUAAGUGAACCGCCUGGGGAGUAUGCACGCAAGUGUG
rnacentral:rRNA from 1 species